AGCAUGUGGUUUAAUUCGAAGAUACACGAAGAACCUUACCUGGCCUUGACAUGGUAGGAACCCUUAAGAGAUUAGGGGGUGCUAGCUUGCUAGAACCUACACACAGGUGCUGCACGGCUGUCGUCAGCUCGUGUCGUGAGAUGUUGGGUUAAGUCCCGCAACGAGCGCAACCCUCGUCCUUAGUUGCUAACAGUUCGGCUGAGCACUCUAGGGAGACUGCCUUCGCAAGGAGGAGGAAGGUGAGGACGACGUCAAGUCAUCAUGGCCCUUACGGCCAGGGCUACACACGUGCUACAAUGGGGCGUACAGAGAGCUGCGAUACCGCGAGGUGGAGCCAAUCUCUUAAAGCGUCUCUCAGUUCGGAUUGUUCUCUGCAACUCGAGAACAUGAAGCUGGAAUCACUAGUAAUCGCAGAUCAGCUAUGCUGCGGUGAAUACGUUCCCGGGUCUU
rnacentral:rRNA from 1 species